rnacentral:rRNA from 1 species
GGGUCUAUCCGUCGGUCGGGCUUUUGGGUCUGUACUGGCGUGAUGGAUUCCUACCUUCUGAAUAACCGGCAUGCCAUUAAUUUGGUGCGCUGGGGAAGCAGGACUGUUACCUUGAAAAAUUAGAGUGCUUAAAGCAGGCUUGGGCCUGAAUACAUUAGCAUGGAAUAAUGAAAUAGGACGGCUUGGUUCUAUUUUGUUGGUUUCUAGGAUCACCGUAAUG